rnacentral:rRNA from 1 species
AGCAGCCGCGGUAAUUCCAGCUCCAAUAGCGUAUAUUAAAGUUGUUGCAGUUAAAAAGCUCGUAGUUGAAUUUCGGGGUCAGCAGGUUGGUCGUGCCACCGGUAUGAACUGGCCUUGCUGAUUCCUCCUUCUUGAAGAACCGUGAUGCCAUUAAUUUGGUGUUGCGGGGAAACAGGACUGUUACUUUGAAAAAAUUAGAGUGUUUAAAGCAGGCUAACGCUUGAAUACAUUAGCAUGGAAUAAUAAAAUAGGACGUUUGAUCCUAUUUUGUUGGUUUCUAGGGUUGACGUAAUGAUUAAUAGGGAUAGUUGGG